UACGUAGGGUGCAAGCUUGUCCGGAAUUAUUGGGCGUAAAGGGCUCGUAGGCGGUCCGUCACGUCGGGAGUGAAAUCCUGGGGCUUAACCCCAGAACUGCUUCCGAUACGGGCAGACUAGAGGUAGGUAGGGGAGAAUGGAAUUCCUGGUGUAGCGGUGGAAUGCGCAGAUAUCAGGAGGAACACCAGUGGCGAAGGCGGUUCUCUGGGCCUUACCUGACGCUGAGGAGCGAAAGCGUGGGGAGCAAACAGG
rnacentral:rRNA from 1 species